rnacentral:lncRNA from 1 species
GGAACGGUAUCCUGCUGGAGACAAUGCCAUCUUUUGACGUGACAUGUGGUAUUUUGGUGGAGAAAAUGCCGUAGUGUGGAGAGAAGAGCGGUCAGCUUUUGGGGAAAGAAGGUAUUUUGCAGGAGCAAACGUUAUAUUUUCAGGAGAACCGUCACCUUAUGCGUGACACAAUGUCAUAUUUUGUGGAGAGAUGCGACGCGACCUGAGCAUGGACGUCCCCUCCUGCAUCACUGGAGCCCACAGCUCGCCUUCAGAGCUCCGUGGAUUUCCCACGUUUUACCCUGAAGCCGCCUCGCUACAGCUCCGUGGGUGGCACACAAGGCCUGCAGCACCUCUUCUCCGCAAAGCCCACCUGCAGGCAUUGGCUCGUGAGGUUCACCACCUGCCCUCCUGAGCAAAAUCAACCCCUAAGAACAAGAGCAAAGUGCCCUGGAUUCGAGCUGGCCUGGUCCAAGCCCCGGUCCCACCAGACAUUUCCUGGUAUCUAGGCUGCUCCCCAAAGCCUGGCCCCACCUCAGCACACGCUGUCAGAUCAGAUUCAAAGCUGGCACCAAGCUUUUCCCAGAAGCUCUUUGCCAGCAGCUCACUCACUGUGUUUCAUCCCUCCUCACCUCAGUCCGAAAGUAUUGGCCGCACCUGCCAGCGGGUGUUACCUCCGACCUUGUCACUGGGCAGCGACUCAACAGCACCCGGUUUGCUUCUGGGGCCCUCAUUCACCUCACUGUGCUAACCCUCCAGUGGCAUUCUUUCCUCCUCCAAAUAAACUAACGGAAUAGAAGGCUGAAUGUGGGACACCCUCAGUCCGCCAAAGAGUCUGCCCCAUGGAGUCCAUGGUGUUCAAGGUCUGCGCCACGGAGUGCAGCUGCAAGCCGCAAGAGAAAUAGCACCUUGCAGCCCUUGUCCUUUGAAGCAGAAGGGAACACCUUAGGAAGACGGAGCACACUUCGGAAGCUCAAAGAUGCCGCGCGUCAAGCUGGCAAGAGAAGAUUCUGAACUGCCGUCCUUUUCCCUUCCAUCCACAGUGGCGUCUGUCACAUAGAACCGGGGAGUAACUUACUGGCCUUGGCAGGGCCCUUUCUUGCCACUCCUCUAAUGCUUAGGAUUAAGUCGACAAAGACAUCGUAACGGUUGUUCUCUGCAAAAACUACCCGUAACAUUGUUCCUUCUACAAGCAGACAAGCCCAACACAUGCCUGCCGGUCAAAUUGUGGGUAGGAGUUGGUUUGUUUGUGGGAGAGAAUUUGAUGUUUUCGAAAGAACGGUAGCAUUUUGGAGAGAAAAUGUUUUGUUUUUGUUUGAAAAGUGGUACUUGGUGGGAGGAUAAUGCUUAACGGAUGGGGGGAGAAAAGUGGUCUUUUGGGGAGAAACUUCCCUUUGGUGGAGAAAGUAGGCGUUUUGCGGGAGAAAAGGUCGCGCGGUGCGCAGAAAGUGCAGUUCUAUUUUGAGGGAGAAAAGAGGUAUUCUGGUGGAGCACAUGUCAUGUUUGGAGAAGAAGAGUGGUAUUUGUGGGGCACAUGCCUUAUUUUUGUGAGAAAUGUGGUAUUUUGGUGGAGAGGAGGUGCUAUCUUGUGCAGCAAAGUGGUAUUUGGGGCUGCAAGCGCCUUGUUUUGGGGAGCAGAGUGGUAUUUUGGGGGAGAAGCUGUCAUAUUGUCG